UACGUAGGGUGCGAGCGUUGUCCGGAUUUAUUGGGCGUAAAGAGCUCGUAGGCGGUUUGUCGCGUCGGCCGUGAAAUCUCCACGCUUAACGUGGAGCGUGCGGUCGAUACGGGCAUCACUGGAGUUCGGCAGGGGAGACUGGAAUUCCUGGUGUAGCGGUGAAAUGCGCAGAUAUCAGGAGGAACACCGGUGGCGAAGGCGGGUCUCUGGGCCGAUACUGACGCUGGAGGAGCGAAAGCGUGGGGAGCGAACAGG
rnacentral:rRNA from 1 species